UACAGAGGUGGCAAGCGUUGUUCGGAAUUACUGGGCGUAAAGGGCGCGUAGGCGGCCUUCUAAGUCAGACGUGAAAUCCCCCGGCUUAACCUGGGAACUGCGUCUGAUACUGGGAGGCUAGAGUAUGGGAGAGGGAUGUAGAAUUCCAGGUGUAGCGGUGAAAUGCGUAGAUAUCUGAAGGAAUACCGGUGGCGAAGGCGGCAUCCUGGACCAUUACUGACGCUGAGGCGCGAAAGCUAGGGGAGCAAACGGG
rnacentral:rRNA from 1 species